GCCCAGGUGGCGGAAUUGGUAGACGCGCUAGCUUCAGGUGCUAGUAGGGGAAACCCUGUGGAGGUUCAAGUCCUCUCCUGGGCACCA
rnacentral:tRNA from 3 species